rnacentral:ncRNA from 1 species
UAUUAUUUAUUUAUUUUAGUUUAACUUUUCGGCUACUAAUACCCUAUAGGUUGAGGAGCAAAAGGAGGAACCUGUCCGAGGAGGGACUCACGUCUGAUUAGCUAGUUGGUGAGGCAAUAACUUACCAAGGCGAUGAUCAAUAGCUGGUCCGUGAGGAUGAUCAGUCACACUGGGACUGAAACACAGGCCAGACUCCUACGGGUGACAGCAAUGGAGAAUUUUCCGCAAAGGAGAAAAACCUACGGA